AUGGAUUAUGAGUUGAAUGAUGCAGCUUGGCUGGGAGUGCAUAUGUUUUUGGAAGGAAUUAACUAGUGCAUAAGAGGUAGCAUUAGCUUCUCAGCAUGAGAACAGGUUGUCUGCUAGAUAAUGUUGCAACAAAUGUUUUCUUCAACUAAUAUGUUCCACUGGGUGGAGGGGAUGUUUUCCAGCAGCACUGACUCCAUGCUGCUCUGCUUAACCUGAAACACCCCUCUCUGAAUCUUCAGAAACACAAGGUGUGGAAAACAAGCCCAUAGAACUUACAGGGUCGUGUGCACAAAUGUAGAAAUUUCUAAGAAAGACCAAAUUAGCAUUCUUCUCUUCCUAGGAAUAGGCUUAUUUUCUUUAACAAAUCCUUUUUAAAUGAAACCUAUAAAUAAUACCUAUAAGAAAAGCUAAUAGGUAGAGAUAUUAAAAACAAAAGCGUUAUAAUAUAGAAUUAAGUCAAUAGGCCUAAUGAAUAUUGUUGACCCUCUCAUAAAUCUGCACAGCUAAGCCCUAGUCAGUUGAUAGGGAGGUGGGAGCUGUCUUCACUGCUUUAGGGACAGUUGGCUGUGAUACCCGGUUGGGCUGGCAAGGAAGCAGGAGGACAUGCUUGUACUUAAUACCAUGAGCAGUAAUAGCUUAAGCUAUUUUGCUGUAAGAGAAACACAUCAAGGCCUUAGAAUUUUGAUUUAAGGAAAACACAGGAUGGUGUUAGAUGUGCAUAUAUAUAUAUAUAUAUAUAUACACAUAUAUAUAUAUAUACACACACACACAUAUAUAUAUAUAUAUAUAUGUAUAUAAAAUGAUGUUUUCAUCUAAACGCUUUGACCAAUACUUUCCUUAAAUCAUCCUUUGGGGGAUAGCAGGACAAAGCAGUUUAGAGCCCAUCUCUGGAGCCAAUCUGUGAUCAGACUCUGCCACCCAGUCAUCCUGUGAGCUUGGGCAAAUUAUGAAGCUUCUAAUUCUUAGUUUUCUCACUUGUAAACAGAGACUGUAUUGUGUCUGUUUUAUGCUGUUAAAAAUGAGAAGGUGAACGUAAAGCAUUUAGUGUAGGAUCUGGCACAUAAUAAGAGCUCCGAGAAGACAAACCAUCACCCUCAUUCUCUGCAACACUGUCAUUAUCUCAUGGCUACGGGGCCACCGAAGAGGGAAACGCCUGUGUCUGCGCCCUACCAGAACCAGCCCCAGUGGUGAGGAAGCAGCAUUGCGGGACAGUCAUACCACAGUUUAUUGUCACUAGGUAAAUGGGAAGUAGCACAGAUAUUUUUCUUAGAUAAAUUUCAUGAGAGACAAAUUUUUUAAAAUCAAAAUUUUAUGGAAUAUUGAGGCAACUUGCCAUAUUCUACCUCUUUUUUCAUCCUAUUUUUUACUCCCAGCCUUAACUAGAGAGAACAAUUUUCCAAUUUGUCUUUUCAAUGGAGUCUUCCAAAAGAAUAUCAAACAUGUAAACUAGCACGCAUCCUAGACUUUUCUGAAAUCAGCAAUGUUUUGUUCAGAUGUGUUUCCCAAGAAAUGAAAAAUCCACUAUUUCAGGUUGGGAUUACAUUACUUGGAGUGUUUUCAUUUUGAUUCCGAGUCUUCUAAAAUGUCUAAUCAUACAACUGAGAAAAUUUUUUUCUUAAUUCUUUAAAAAGAAAAAACGACUGAUGUCUGAAUGUGGAUAGAAAAGAUGAGCGAGUAACUAUUUGGAUUAAGGAGCAACAAAUUAAAAUGUGGCCAUUCAAUUUCCUUAAACAGCAAAAAAGCAAUUUUAAUGGGCUUACAUUUGGAGGAGGAGGAGAAGAAUUGGGGAGAAUGCAGUUAACCAGAGUUCCCACCGUGGCUCAGCAGGUUAAGAACCUGACAUAGUGUCCAUGAGGAUGCGGGUUUGAUCCCUGGCCGUGCUCAGUGGGUUAAUGUUGGGCGUUGAGCUGUGGUGUAGGUCUCAGAUGCAGCUCUGCUGUGGCUGUGGCUGUGGCAUAGGCCGGCAGCUGCAACUCUGAUGUGACCCCUAGCCAGGGAACUUCCAUAUGCUGCAGGUAUGGCU
rnacentral:lncRNA from 1 species